UAGAGGAUCCCCUCCUGGCUCAGGAUGAACGCUGGCGGCGUGCCUAAUACAUGCAAGUCGAGCGAAUGGAUUAAGAGCUUGCUCUUAUGAAGUUAGCGGCGGACGGGUGAGUAACACGUGGGUAACCUGCCCAUAAGACUGGGAUAACUCCGGGAAACCGGGGCUAAUACCGGAUAACAUUUUGAACUGCAUGGUUCGAAAUUGAAAGGCGGCUUCGGCUGUCACUUAUGGAUGGACCCGCGUCGCAUUAGCUAGUUGGUGAGGUAACGGCUCACCAAGGCAACGAUGCGUAGCCGACCUGAGAGGGUGAUCGGCCACACUGGGACUGAGACACGGCCCAGACUCCUACGGGAGGCAGCAGUAGGGAAUCUUCCGCAAUGGACGAAAGUCUGACGGAGCAACGCCGCGUGAGUGAUGAAGGCUUUCGGGUCGUAAAACUCUGUUGUUAGGGAAGAACAAGUGCUAGUUGAAUAAGCUGGCACCUUGACGGUACCUAACCAGAAAGCCACGGCUAACUACGUGCCAGCAGCCGCGGUAAUACGUAGGUGGCAAGCGUUAUCCGGAAUUAUUGGGCGUAAAGCGCGCGCAGGUGGUUUCUUAAGUCUGAUGUGAAAGCCCACGGCUCAACCGUGGAGGGUCAUUGGAAACUGGGAGACUUGAGUGCAGAAGAGGAAAGUGGAAUUCCAUGUGUAGCGGUGAAAUGCGUAGAGAUAUGGAGGAACACCAGUGGCGAAAGCGACUUUCUGGUCUGUAACUGACACUGAGGCGCGAAAGCGUGGGGAGCAACAGGAUUAGAUACCCUGGUAGUCCACGCCGUAACGAUGAGUGCUAAGUGUUAGAGGGNUUCCGCCCUUUAGUGCUGAAGUUAACGCAUUAGCACUCCNCUGGGGAGUACGNNCAAGGCUGAACUCANGNNUGACGGGGCCGCNNAGCGNGAGCAUGUGUUUAUCGAGCACGCGAGACUACAGUCUGANUCUCUGAANCUANANANNGNUUCUCCUUNNNNCAANGNCNGUGGNGCAUGNNNUC
rnacentral:rRNA from 1 species